ACGUUAUGAACAGAAAAAUCUAUGCUAUUGAUGCUGUCCUCAUAGUUGUUAUAAACGAUGCGCAGCAGUGACAGUUAAUGGAAAACACUAAGGGUCUUGCCGUGGUAACUCUGGUAAACGUGGAAAAAAAUGUACGAUGGAUAGAAGUUGUGAGGGACAUGAAAAGUGUUGUUAUCGAAGAUGCCGAAAUUGUUAAGGAUCUUUAUCUUGUCAAACAUUAGUUCGAAAUGAUUAGUUUUAAGAAACUAAAAUCAUUAGGAAACAUCAUUUAAAAGAGGGACAGCUAAAGUACUAGGACAUGGUGACAGUAUCGAGGGAUUUGAAUUGUAUAUGGGUUUGUAAAAUUGCACAAUAUUAAUCAGAUACUUCUUAACUUGAACAUUCUAAUGCACUCAACUUUUCCUUUUGAUACAUUUAACACCUCAAACACAAACGAUUACAAUUUAACUUCGCUAAACUUUCGCAGUAUAUUCUUAUCUAGGUUAUGGACCUACACAAAAAGCUUAAGAUAUCCAGGUGAAAAUCGAGUUGUGUACCAGACUGCUGGUUCAGCCACUAUUGAAAAAAACGAAAAUCAGUUGUCCGAAUGGUACGAGAUAUGAAACUGACCUAGACUAAAAAAUGGCGGGAAAAUGCAUAAACAUGUUAAGUAAGGACAAUUUGAUAAUUUAGAAACGAAAGAAUACAAACACAAAAGGUGUUGCAAAUAUAUAUGAAACCUAUGAACAUCACAAACAGAAAAUCACCGUAACAAAACUGAAUAUACCCUGGAAUGCAUGAAAACUUAUGUUUGUUUUUUUAUGCCAUUUAUUAACAAGGAGAAAGAUUUCAAUAAAAAUGACAUUUAUUAAAAACGACGUACACAGUUAUUCACAACAACAGGAGAGUUCAUCGUACAAAGUAUAAUAAUUAAAUGCACCUGAUUUAAAGUAUCUGUUAAUUAAAGAAAAACAGCUUGAAUAAAGAUAACGUACAGAAAAUGGGACUAACAAAAAGGUGGCAAUAUAUCAAAUCAAUAAUAACAUUAAACAAUAAUGAAACUAUUAUUUUAUAAACAAUGUGGAAAGUUAUUGAGGUUGGUAGAGGUUUCAAAGAUUUUCCAAUGAACAGUUUUGAACCAUUUUUUUCUGAAACGAAAACAAAAAGCCUCAUAACAAAUCUGGUAUUUACUUAGUUCGCGACAUAUAAAGAUUGCUUAAUUAUUUAAUACACACUCAGUUCAGAUAUAGAAUGAUUUAUUCAAAUGAAGGUUGUCCACAUUAACAUAAUUUAAUUUACUUUUGUCAGUUUGAUUUUACUAUUUAAUUUAUUUGCUAUGGCCUAAAUUGACCCUAAAUUAUUUUCAGUCUUACUUGGCCUAAGACCAUUUUGUACUCAUAUGAUGUACUAUUUGUAAUUUUUCUUUCCGUGUAAAGUACAUUAAAUACAUAUGGAAGGAUUAUUUUUAACAAAAAAAUUUCACAAAUUUAAAAUUGCUGGAAAAUAUUACAUCUUCAUGUAAGGCCCCCCUUCAUUCAAAAACCUUCAAUUUCAUUCACAGGCUCGUAUAAAUUUUACUUUUGAAUAAUUGUAAUAAAUCUGAUACAUCAAAUGAGUGUUCUUUUGCUUUUAAUACAUGAUAUUUUAAAUAUUAGGGCAUUUAAAAAGUUAUUUUUUACAAUUUUUGAAUUUUUAAAGCCCUAAAUGUUGAUAGUUGAAAUUCUUCAAUUUUAAUGUCAAAAGCUACACAGUUAUGUCCUUUGAUUUUCAUUGUCUACAAAUAUAGUCCCUAGUGUGGACACUGUGUUACUUGCUAUUUUUGUAUACCCCUUCCAUAUUUAUUUCUUCAUGUUUUAUGCCUCAAAUAGCAAGUAGGGGGAUGUAAUUACACUGUAAAAAAAUUUGGUCAUGAAUUUUAAAGUAAAGUUGUGAUUUGGUCCAGCUAAAAAAGGUUAACAAUUAGUAUUUCGGAAGCUGUCAAAAGAAUUCAAGACCCCCUUAACAUGAAAUUGUCCAUAUUUCGAGUUAGAGCUGAUGAAGUUUUCUAUAAUUUUGAUAUAAUUUGUCCCAAAAGUAUUACACCACAUUGUAAAAAUAUUCAUGAUAAUGUUGAGAAAGCGCAGGUGGGAUUUUUUAAUUUUCAUUUAUUGUCUAAAAGAAAUCACUAUGAAAUAACUGUGUUCUCGGGCCAUGCUUGAAUGCUUUCUCCUACCUAAAUAAAAGUUGUUGUAAUUGUGAUUUUCAUGGAAUAUAAUUUUAGAGUACUUACACAAUACAUAUAAACUAAAGAGUCUUUAGAGUCAAAGCUAUUAUUUGAAUAAAAAAUUCCCUCUUGGUAUUGAUCUUUAAACUAUUUGCAAAAAAGAAUUAAUAGGGUUGACAGUCUAGCCUUUGCAAGCAACUUUAGAUUCGAAAUUUUAAUUAAAAAGUUUUUUUAUAAACACUAUGAAAUACAGUGGAGAAAACAAAUGCACAAUUGUGCUGAUAGGAAGCUUUGUAGCUAUAGCACUUUUAAGACUCAUUUUGGUCUUGAAAGAUAUCUUACUUUAUUACAAUUACCUGAGCAGAGGAGAAAUUUCACUCGAUUGCGUAUUUCUUCUCACAGACUAAGAAUUGAACAAGGUCGCUAUCAGGGUACUCUCCGGCAAGACAGAAUAUGUCUCAGGUGCACCUCAAAUGAAGUUGAUGAUGAAAAACAUUUUUUAUUUUCGUGUACAUCAUCUCAAGAUAAGAGAAAUUGUUUAAAUUCCACUAUUAACUCACUAUGCCCAAACUUUACGCAUUUGAUUCCUAGCCAAAAACUGAUAUGGCUUCUUAAUGUAGAGAAUCUUGAUAUCUUGAUAUCUGUCUGUGAGUUAGUUGAUGAAGACAAAAUAUAACUUGAAAGAUAAAUAUUUAAAUCAGGCUUUCUGCACUAGGCACGAGGUUGGCAUGGUGGGGUACAGGACACAUCGUACAAGUUCUAUUACUUUUCUGUUUGUGAUAUUUUUUUUAUUAAACUGGUAAUAUUUUAUCUUUUUGUAAUAUGUGCACUUUGGCAUAUCAAUUAGCAUUGUCCCUUGGUGCCUCUUGCAGUUGUGUCAAUAUAAAUAGUACUGACUCCUCUGCACCAGGCACGAGGAUGACAUAUCAAUUAUUACAAUAUCUUACCAUAUCAUUAAUCAUGUUAAUGUCCCGAUACACAUUUUAAUAUGCACCCACCAUGCCAUAUAGCACCGUCCCUUGGUGCCUCCUGUAGUUAAGCUAGAUAUAUUUAGCCUACUCACAGAAUUCUUUUUUGUUACUUUCAAGAGGUCGGCCUGAGACGAAGGUUUUAUACAUACCCCUAUAUAUCACAUGUAUAUAUACGAAUAUGUGAAAACUGUUGUUUCUUAUUUGUGUUUGUAACUAUCAUGACUAUGUAUACUGUAUUGUUUAUCAUAUUUGUAAAAAUAAUAUUAUAAUGAUAUUAUAUUAUGCUCCUUGUGAGCCCAUUUGAUGGAAAUAAAGCAUCUUCUUCUU